UUGCCUUCAAUGAGCCCCUGCUUAGAAUUAUCCACCUGCUGAGCUCCGGGCUCCUCAAUCACUUGCUUGUCUACUCGCAACAAUACAAACAAACAUGGUAUAUGAGAAAUUAACAUCACACCAAACAAAGGUAUAUAAUGCAUGAUAAUAUUCUACGCAUUGUAACGAGAUCGUAGGUUCGAGAAUCACUAAAUUCAUAGUUACAGUUAUCGAGUUACAAUUUUCUGAAGUUAUUAAGUGGUUGAUAUAGAAUAAUCCAAAUGAGUAUUUUUAAUCUAUGUUUCAUGAUAAAACUAAGUCACCAGGUGAUAAACAAUAUUAAAACAAAAUUAAUGCAACAAGAAUGGAUCAAAAAGUAAUUAAAAUGGAUUUACUAUGAUUUAAACAAGUUUCUGGAUUUAUUUUAGUACUAAAAAUCAAAUUUUGUUUUAAUUUCGAAUUUCCUUUAAAGUCUCUGGACUGCGGAUAGGAAUACUAGGGAGUUCGGGUUGCAAUUCAUAAAUCCCAGGACUCAGAUGCAAAUACUUUUUAACUAUAAGUGGACUGCGGGUUGAUUUCUGUUUUUUGCGGGGUCUCGUUUACAAAAUGCCUGAACAAAAGUGUAUCGGUUGUUCCUAUCCAUCCGAUCAACCCCAGACUGUCAAGAUUAGAUCCGAUUAUCCCAAACUGGUACGCAUUUGCAUCCCUUGGAUCCGAGAUCAACGCAGUAGAUUUAAAGUGGUGGAAUCUAACCUAGCGCGUCCGAUCGGAGAUCGACGUACGCGAUCGAAUCCCGACGAACGAGUAUGUUAGUCUAAUCCUCACCGCACGAUCUGGAUCAAACAGUCAAGACCCGGUCUUCCCCCACCAGACGCAUAGGCGACGACACCGCCCCGACCUACGGCGGAGCUUUCACCGGCGACACAAGCAAUCGGGUUCUGGUGCCUUACAUUUGUCACCAAGAGGUGCUAUUCGAUGCUAUGAUUCGUGUGAAUACGUACGAGGACUUACCGGGAAGGGGAAUUGUCUGUUGGAUGCUGCGCAUGGCGCAAGGCGGAGUCGCGACACAGAGUGGUCGACGGCGAGGAAUCCCGGUGGAGUUGGCGGUCAAUCCCGAGCAGCACGACCACCACAGCUUUACCCCGGCCCUAGAGAAGGUCCUAGGCACUACCGACGACGCGGAUAACGACUUAAUCGAGGAUUCCCCCGUGGCGGCGUUAUGC
rnacentral:lncRNA from 1 species